rnacentral:rRNA from 1 species
GGGUUGUGAGGUUAAGCGACUAAGCGUACACGGUGGAUGCCCUGGCAGUCAGAGGCGAUGAAGGGCGUGCUAAUCUGCGAUAAGCGCCGGUAAGGUGAUAUGAACCGUUAUAACCGGCGAUACCCGAAUGGGGAAACCCAGUGUGAUUCGUCACACUAUCAUUAACUGAAUCCAUAGGUUAAUGAGGCGAACCGGGGGAACUGAAACAUCUAAGUACCCCGAGGAAAAGAAAUCAACCGAGAUUCCCCCAGUAGCGGCGAGCGAACGGGGAGGAGCCCAGAGCCUGAAUCAGCAUGUGUGUUAGUGGAAGCGUCUGGAAAGGCGCGCGAUACAGGGUGACAGCCCCGUACACAAAAGCGCAUGUGCUGUGAGCUCGAUGAGUAGGGCGGGACACGUGGUAUCCUGUCUGAAUAUGGGGGGACCAUCCUCCAAGGCUAAAUACUCCUGACUGACCGAUAGUGAACCAGUACCGUGAGGGAAAGGCGAAAAGAACCCCGGCGAGGGGAGUGAAAAAGAACCUGAAACCGUGUACGUACAAGCAGUGG